UCUCUUUUCUUUCCUUGACGUUGCACCUCAUCCUUCUAAAUUUUGGCAUCCUUUAGAAAAGUUCCUGUCUCCAGCUUAUUCUUCCUCCCUGGGUUCCUGGGUGUUUACUUUAGCUUUAGCUGUUUAUGUUUGUUCUCAAGUGCAUCUUUCAAGAUGUGCAGUCUAGUCCAUGUCCAAUUAGAUCCUGAUGGCAAAUCAAAUUUAAGUGUGAACUGUGGAAUUUUCCUUGGCCUUUUAAAACCUCUCCUAACAGCCAUCUCUCUCAUCAUCUCUUUUUACCUUUUACCUUUUUAACUGAUCAGUUAGGAGAAUGAAAAUGCCAAGCCUUACUGCGUCCUCCGAAGCCUCUCUGCACUUCAGUUGCUCUGUGAAAUGGAGACAUAGCAGUAUCUUCCUCUGGGGGCAAUUAAGAGGCUUAUAGAAGGCAGUAGACAUAAAUUACCACAUUUUGGCAUUGACCAGUUAGUGAGCACUCAGUAAAUAUUAGUUGUCAUUACUUCCUAAUGACACCUCCUUUUUCCCCCAACGUUUAUAAGCUUUUCUAAAUGAAUUAACCAAAAUAUAAUUAAUGGGAGCAAUACCCACAAGUACACAGUGGCACAUACACACUAGCACAUAGGCACACACAUGUAUCCUGAUUUGGGUGGUGGCUACACAGGCACAUACAUGUUCCCAAGCUUAUCGAGCUCCGUACCUACGAUGUAGGCGUUUUCUAGAUGUGAGCCAUGCCUCAGUCUGCUACUUGUGGAAAAAAAUGUAAUGAGGAGCAGAGUAGUAGAGCAGUUAAAAGUGUGGGUUCUGGAACUAGAUUUAGGUUUACAUCCUGGCUCUAGUACCAACUAGCUGUGUGAUGUGAGGCACGAGAAGGCCUGUGCUUUUGUUUCCUCAUUAGUUGGAUCUGGAUAAAAGUACCUAUCUCAUAGGGUUGCUAUGAUGACUGCAGGAAGUAAUCUAAAAUAGUGCUUGGCGUAUCCUAAAUAGCAUAUAAAUAUUGUUUUUAAAUAUAGUUUCCUAAAAUAACAGCAUUGCGUGUAUCUAUGAUCUAUAUCCUUUUCUUUGAAUUGCCCCUAUCUUUACUUGGGUAGUGUCUUUUUUUUAAUGCAGCGAAUAAGCCUUUAUACGUUUUGCUACCUCUUUGUAUAUCCAACGUUUAGCAUGGCACUACAUUUACCAAGAGCAAAAUCAACAUUCAUUGACUAACUAAAUGUUGACCCAGAAGGUCAUGUCGGAUCAAAAUAUGACAAUUUUUAUUGGAAAAACUGAUUAAAUUGAGGAUUUCUAACGAGUAGUGACAUUGUAUAUGACUGAUUUUAACCAAAUUUCCCCAAAGCAUAAUUAUUCCUUUAGCAGCAAAUUUAAAAAUGGUAUGAAAAUAAGUUUGUGAGAAGUAAACAGAUUUUAUUUUAACCUCAACUAUUCUACUCAACCUUUCAGAUGCCAGAAAAUUAUAGUAAUAAUAAAUUGGAAUAACGUCAGAUGAUGGAAAAUUCAAACCCACAUGGACAGUGGUCUCUUGUAAAUAGAGUGGCUGUGGAUCUGGAGCUUUAAACAUUUAAAUCUGAAAGGCAAAUGUCCGAGUGUCUAGGGACUCAUAGUGGCCUUUUUCAUUAUGCGUUCGAAUUGUUUAAACCACAUUUUAAGGUGGAGUGUAAAACCUGUUUGAUCUAACAGUCAUUUGCAUGAAUUAGGAGAAUGUCAUUGUGCCUUAGGAGAGAAUUACAGACUAUAUUUUUUCAAUUUUAGCUGAUGGUAAUCAUAUUAUUAAUGUGACAUUGUCUCUUCUCUCCGUGAUACAGUAAAAGGAACAAGAUGCCACUUGAUUCCUAAUUCUCGGUUUGGGAACUGAUAAUUACCACUUAUGGCAUACCAGUUAUUUUUCAGUUCCUGUCCUUGGUGGAUUUCACAGGUUUUAUUAAACCGUGGCAGUAUGAUUAUUAUCCCUGUGUAGACAUAAGAACACUAACAAUAUAGCUCUCAAUUUAAAGCUCGAACAUCCUUCACUGGGUGUGUGAACAUUUUCCUCUUUAAUGUGAUGUUUCCAACAUUUAGAAAAUUGACGUACAGAACCAGAAUAAUUUAAAAACUGUGAAAUAACUAUAUAGAAAGUGAUAGGAUGAUAUGUAAUAAAAUAAAGGCCAUUAUAGAAGUGAAAAAAUACAUUUUACUGGUUGCAAUAAAUCUGAUUCUGAAAAAAAAAAGAAAAUGUUUAUGAUGUAUAUGGGGAGAGGGAGAGAGUUAUCCUCUUACAAAGUAAAUUUGAAACAGUACGUUAAAUAGUUUGAUUUGAGCAACAGAACAACAAUGAAGUUAGGACUCAUGGCUUCAGACAGGUGUAUUUCCAGUUAAGGGGAGUAUUUCACCCCUGGUAGGGCCAUGAACCCAACAGGCACAGCCACACAGGAUCUGAGCCUUGUCUUCGACCUGCUCUUCAGCUCACGGCAACACUGGAUCCUCGACCUACUGAGCUAGGCCAGGGAUCGAACCCGCAUCUUCAUGGAUGCUAACUGGGUUUGUGAGACAUAAGGGGAACUCCUGGUUUUAAUGGUGUAUUAAUAAAAAAAGUCAGGGGGAGGUGUAUCAGGAAACUAAUAUUUAAAAUAUUCAAAUAUCUUAUGGACAGUGAAAAGUCCUACCAGGCUUUUUUCAAAGAUAAGAACUUAAAAGAGUGCAGUAGUUCUAACAUAGGUCAUGAGAAUAUCUCUGGAUACGACAUAGCUCCAUCUUUUUGUAUAAAACUUGCCUUUCAAGGGGUGAACAAUACUCUCUCUAUAUCUUAUUUUGGUCAGUGAGAUAGGAAAUACAUAUGACAAGGAACUUAUUUUAUUUUUAAAAAUUAACACUUGGGACUAAGGUGUCUUUUGGUUCCAAACUAGUGUUGCACUAAUUUGUGCUGAUUUUAAUAUCGUUAGACUUUGUCAAAUGAAUGGGUAGCUAAAACCAUCCCUUUGUUAGUGGUCAGUGUUACAUCGUCCGUUCUGCACGCAGCUGAGGCUGUCUCUCGUCCUCUCAUUAUCCCAGUAAGAGUUUCGACCCCUUAGCCAGGUAGUAAUCACUGGUUCUUGAGAAAGCUGGGAACGUUUGAGUCAGUCAGACGAGCGAGAGAAACAAAGACAGUGAUAAAGGGAGCAACGAGCAUUUAGUGGAACAAAUUGCCUGUGAGAAGCCUGGGGAUUGGCCCAGGAGCCUUGGAAAGCGGAGCUCGGUGACAGGACGCCUGCAGGAGAAGCCAGCCACAUCUUCAGGUGGGGAGGAAGGGGCUUGCAAGAUGUCAUGGUCUUCUCUAUAAAUUCAGAAACAGGUCCUCUGCUCGGUCAGUACACCUUGAAUGAGUUGAGGGAUUUAGUGAGGGAAGAAAAACUGAGUUUUAAUGGGCACGGCAAAAUUCAGCGUUAGGCAUGGAGACGAAUGCGGGAAGGAGUCACUGAGGAGCAACGGUGAGGUCUUGGCGUGUUAUGACGCGAUCAGGAUGGCUCUGCAAGCUUUCCAGUGGCCCCUGACAGAGAAGGACAAAGGGAAAUACAAUUCCACACUAAGUGAGACGACAGCGGACUCUCAAGUGGGGGGGAGACCAAGGAAUUAUGUGGGGAAGGUCAGAUUCGGAAGGGGUCAGGUAGGUCUGAUUCGGAAAUCUUAGACCAGAAACCCAUACGCUCCAUAAAGUUAGCAAAAUACUAUGGGCAAAAUAUGGGACCUUAUUCUAGGAGCUGCUAGUAAAAGGUGGUAACCUGCUGCCCUAGUCUCUGAUAAUAGCAGUCGAAAGAAAAACUGUCAGGUCAGGCCAGUAGAGCUUCCACCAUUACUCUGUUAGUGGAGGGCUCUCUGUGUUGUAUAUUCUGCCUGUUUGGGGAACGGGCAAACAUUUUUUUAGAGAUAGAGGGUAUAUGCUUUCCACUUUGUGGGCGUAUUUUCUAUCACAGCUGCUAAAAUCUACCAUCAUAGCAAAAAAACAGGUUUCGAAAAUCUGAAAAUGUGUUUAUGUGAAAACUACAGGUGGUUGCCCAGAAACUCAACCGUGAAAUCCCUGUUAGAAAUCAACAUGAAGAAGUACCAGUAUAGGAGUUCCCUUGUGGUGCCGUGGGUUAAGGAUCCAGCCUUGUCAGUGCUGUGGCACAGGUUCAAUCCCUGGCCUAGGAACUUCCACCUGCUAUAGGCACAGCCAAAAAAAAAAAAAAGUAGCAGUAUAAAGAGUGUUGCAGUCCUUUUAAAAGUAAAUAAACUACCUAGCCUACUGGAUGUUAAAUAAUUUUUUCAAUAUACCUACAAGAAUCUUUACCUGUAUGUGUAUGCAUAUGUGUGUGCACAUACACACAUUCAUUUGUGUAUGUCUGUAUUUUAUAUACCUAAGGCUGUCUUCGUCUCUCUAGAUAAUAUAUAGAAUCUAAAGAUAUAAGCUCUCUACCAAGGAAUGCCAAUCUGUUUGGAGAAGGAAAUGGGGGAAGGGAGAUUGGAGGACUGCAGGUAAUUAUAAACUAUCACGUAGUUGGACAGUGAACUGACUGCUAAAAAGGUGACUCAAUGACUGCGAGUGCGGAAUGCCUGUAUACCAAGCAGGAAGGUUUCUCUGCCUUUGGAUUUGAGAUGUGAGACUGUAGCCAACCGGGAACUUUUUUCUCACAUAGAGUAUUUCACGUACUCUCAUGCUUUGGAAAGAUGAAAUAAUAACUCAUUUUUCCAGGAUUAUUUAAUUUCUCCUUCUUAGUUCUUUCUGCUCAAUGUUAUGGAAGCUGAAUAGUUAUUUAGAGUCAGAAAAAUGUAAAAAUUAAGGAGUUUCCAUCAUGUCUCAGCAGAAAUGAAUCCUGACUAGCAUCCAUGAGGGCGCAGGUUAGAUCCCUGGCCUCACUCAGUGAGUUAAGGAUCCGGCGUUGCUGUGAGCUGUGGUGUAGGUUGCAGACACGGCUCAGAUCCCUCAUUGCUACAGCUGUAGUGUAGGCCAGCGGCUAUAGCUCCAAUUUGACCCCUAGCCUGGGAACCUCCAUAUGCCAAGGGU
rnacentral:lncRNA from 1 species